rnacentral:rRNA from 1 species
GACGAACGCUGGCGGCGUGCUUAACACAUGCAAGUCGAACGAUGAACCAGGGCUUGCCCUGGGGAUUAGUGGCGAACGGGUGAGUAACACGUGGGCAACCUGCCCCAGACACCGGGAUAACCAUUCGAAAGAGUGGCUAAUACCGGAUACGACCACUUUGGGCAUCCAACGGUGGUGGAAAGGAUUCUGGUCUGGGAUGGGCCCGCGGCCUAUCAGCUUGUUGGAGGGGUAAUGGGCUACCAAGGCGACGACGGGUAGCCGGCCUGAGAGGGCGACCGGCCAGACUGGGACUGAGACACGGCCCAGACUCCUACGGGAGGCAGCAGUGGGAAAUAUUGCGCAAUGGGCGAAAGCCUGACGCAGCGACGCCGCGUGAGGGACGAAGGUCUUCGGAUUGUAAACCUCUAUCAGCAGGGACGAAGCGAAAGUGACUGUACCUGCAGAAGAAGCACCGGCUAACUACGUGCCAGCCGCCGCAGUAACAC